rnacentral:rRNA from 1 species
GAUCAUGGCUCAGGAUGAACGCUAGCUACAGGCUUAACACAUGCAAGUCGAGGGGCAGCAUUUUUAUAGCAAUAUAAAGAUGGCGACCGGCGCACGGGUGAGUAACACGUAUCCAACCUGCCGAUAACUCGGGGAUAACCCUUCGAAAGAAGGCCUAAUACCCGAUGGCAUAUCCCUUCCGCCUGGUGGGGAUAUUAAAGAACUUCGGUUAUCGAUGGGGAUGCGUUCCAUUAGCUUGUUGGCGGGGUAACGG